AGAGGACGAUCUGACUGCAACAUCUGUCACCUCAUUGAUUGCCAGGGUUGACUGAGCUGAUCUGACUGGUUAGACAGAUGUCCCCUUCCUCCCUCGCCACUCCAUGUGCAUCUCUCCUGAUGCUUCUCAGUCAUAGAUGACCACCUUCUUGAAUAGAGAAGGACUGACCUCAGGUCAAGGGUAUAUGAGUAGCUGAGCUUCCCUCCUAGAAUUUCCAACUGAUUUCUUAAUCCAAAGUUACAAAGCCCACCUUCCUACAAAGAAAAGUAUAGACAGGCCUAUCACAGCAAUAUCCAACUUUUGUCUGUCUUAAGGUU
rnacentral:snRNA from 1 species